rnacentral:lncRNA from 1 species
UGCUAAGAUUACAGGCAUGAGCCACUAUGCCCAGCUGGCAUUUAUUUUCUUAAAGAAAAAAAAAAUCUAAAUACUUGGGGGAAAUGGGAGUUGAGCAAAAGACUGACACUAACAGCAGAAUGAAUCAUUUUUAUAUCUUCUUUACCUUCUUUACUGGGAAAGGUGGCUGGCUCAGCAGGGAAGGAGUGUAUGAGGAGACUGUGUAAAAUGUGUCUUGUCGCGUUGUUGGUAAGCCGCUAAGCAAAUGUCUUUAACAUUAAUUUGAAAUUAGGUCUUGACAAAAUCUUGAGAAAUUAAAACAGGAAAAUAGAUAUUUGUACUCUAGGAUGAUAAUUAAAAUUGUAAUAUGAAGAGUAAAUUGAGGGGUCAUAUUGAAAGGGAAUAAUAGUAGAAGACAAAAAGAAAACAAGGAACCAAACAAAACUUCAGCUCCUCUAAUGGCAUGCACAGAACAUAGAAGUUUCUGAUGAAGGAACUGGCAAAAAAGACAGAAAAGGAACUGCUGGGGUAAAAUGGCAACAUGCUGGGAGAACACAGGUUUGCAGCUCUUGUGGGAGAAAUACUUUCAAGAAGAAAGAAGUAGUUAAUAAUGCAAAAUACUCAGGUGAGCACCAGGGAAUAAAGGAUGGAGAAAUAUUUUGAAUUUUUCAGGACAAUAUUUAGUGUGAGUAAAUUUAGAAGGCACAAAAACUGAACAGCUGAAAUGAUCUGUGAGAAGAUAGAUAUUGUCAUGGACUGAAGACCAAGGUUACAUGGAAAGAGAAAUGGACUGGAUAAUAGUUGAAAAGAUUAGACAGCAAACAUGUUUUUCUUUUAAGAAAAGAUAAGAAGAUUGAUUGAGGUCAAAGUGCAAUGAGUCAAGGAUAGUGACAACUGGAAGAACAGGAAGCAGUUUGGCGGUGGCGGAUAGGUGAGGCACAAGGACGUCAGCACUGGAUUCAGACAAACCGGCGUGUAUUGCGCGUGUACUUUGGGUGGCCCUGUGCUGCGUCAGCUGGAAGGGAUCCAGAGAAAAAGACAGAGCCCUCUUUGAAGACAUCCAGAGAGAGAUCUAGGAUGUUGGGAAGGAACAAAGAAAUUCAGGCAUCUCUCCUGAGAAGAGAAAGGGAGUAGAAUGCUCCAUCAUGAUGCUAACCACAAGAAUUGACUUGACGGGACAGAAUCAAGGGGAAGAACGUCAGUGAAACUUCUGGUGACAAUCACCCACUUAGCUGGCGUCAAAACAGGCCCUAUUCCUCAGUACCCGGUAUCAAGAGAAGACAACUUUCAGAAGCCCAUUGCCUAGACUUGGAGGAGGCUCUUAAUAUGUUUUUUUUCCACAUUUCAUAAAUUCUUAGGAUUUUUUAAAUUUAAUAUCCUUUAUGAACUAAGGUCAACAAAACUUUAAUCAGUGAAUAUAUUUUUGGUUCUGAGAGUUAGAACACUCCUCCCUUUUAAAACAAAAAAGUUUUUAGAAUUUUGUUGUUAAAUAUAUCUGGACAUAUGAAGAAAACUGAAGUUAUCAGCCUUUUCAAUUGAAUCCUGACACUGAAAUUGUCUUUUGAAACUUACUUUUGUGUAACUAUCCUGGCUCACUGGCACUCUGCUCUGGAAUUAAAUUUCCCUAAUUUCUGUCAACUUUUUGAAUCUGCAACAGUGGGAGCAUAUGAUAUGCUGUAUGAGUAACUGCACAAGUUAUUGUUAGAAAAAUUCCUACUGAUAAGCCCUAUGAGUUUUAUCUGUAACUGUGCAAGUAACCUAAGUAUCUUGUGGAAUUAGAGGCAAUAGUCUGUUUUACAAAGAGUAGGAGAGAGAGAGAAAGAGGUAGAGACAAAGACCAAGACCAGGAGAGGAAGAAGGAGAGAGACAGAAAGGGAGGCAGAGGGAAGAAAGGAAAGAAGAAAGAAAGAAAACAUUAGCAUAAUUUUCCAAGAAUAGGCAUCUCAGUGUCUUGCCUAGAAAUCAAGGUCUUCCUCUGCUCAGAAGCACAGAAACUGUCCAGGAGGGGAAGCUCUAAGUAACGAUAACAAUAGAAACUGAUUGGCUUGACAAUGAGAUAAGACCAGGUAUGUUCCCGGUGACCCACAGUGAAGGAAAAUUCAGUUUUUGCACAGUUUCACUGUGUGGAGAGAAUAUAGCACCAUUACAAAACUUCUUUUAAAGAAAAGACACUUUGGGAAUUGGCCUCAUCUGUUUUUUUGUAGGCAGUUCAGAUAGGAAUAAAGGAAAGAAGAAAACAUCUCCUUCCUUAUUCCCCAUCUGUUUAUCUCACUAUUUCUCAUCCUCCUUACAGACACUCAGCUGGAGGUUCACAGAUCCAGUUUCUUGUAGAUUGCUCCUCAAUGUUGUGGGUAAUUUUAGGCAAAAUAUGCAAAUUUCUUGUUUGGCAUAAGGUUUUUCUUUCUCCUGCUAAAACAAAAAUGUUUCCGCUACAAACCAUUUAAAUACUUCGUAGGGAUUUUGUCAGGAUUAAUGAGGCAACAGACAGUCACAGGUGAUUAUACUUAUUUCAAGAAUGCAUUAUUUUAGUAUGUCUAUUUGGCAUUACAUUGAUUUUUUUUCAGGUCAUUAGCUUAUUAAUUUCUACUAGACAGCAGAGCUGCUGUGUCUUGUUAUUUUUGGAGUUAAAAUGGUGUAAUAUUCUCAGAGAGCUAGACAUCAACUUAGUGAACUGGAACUGGAGAAUAAUUUAUUCUUUGCUACCAUAGAUGUUAAUUAUUUACCACAAGACAGAGCUGGGCAAGAAGAAAUCUCAGAACUUUAGUUUGGAUACAGACUUUGCUUUUUAUGGUCUGUUUCAAUCCCUUUAUUUUACAGAUAAGUAGAUUAAAACAAUUAUGAUUAAGUAUCUUCUCUUAUGUCACACAGUUGUUAUUGAUUGGUUUAUACUUAGGAGCUAGAGCAAGUGUUCCCAGGGAGUACAUUUUGUACUGAAUAUAGCUGUCUUUGUGAAGAGAAAAAUAACAAGAUUUGUAGGUACUGAAAGUUACCCAGAAAUCUCACAUUAGUCUAGGAAGAGGUAUGUAUUAUGAUGCUCAGGGUUACUGUGGCUUGAUAUAAUUAAACAGAUGUAUAUUCGUCUCCUAGAGUCUUCAAAAUAAUGAUAGUGGUGACGAUGACGAUGAUGAUAGUUAGCAGUUUUUAAAGGCUUACUCUGCAACAGGAAUUAUACCUAGAGGUUUAUACACAUUAUCUCAUUUAUUUCCUAAAAUGAUGCCAUGAGGUUGGAUCUAUUAUUUCUUCCAGUCUACAGAAGAAGAACCUGAAGCUUAGAGAUAUUUGGUAAAUUGUUGCAACUUCACUCUGUAAGUAAAUGUCAGAUCUGACCAAUAUGAUGCCACCCUAUGCCUUGUCACAGUAUUAUUCUGCUAUACGUUUGAGAAUCUGCCAAAUUUUCUUAGGCUCAUUAUCCACUACCACCAUAUUCUGACUUGUGGUGGAAUUAAUAAUAUUUCUAGAAGAAAUAUUUGCAAUAUUUAAGCAAAUUUUAGAAUUUUUAUACUAGAAAUAAGAUCUUGGACAUAAUGUAACUGUAUGUCUAGGUGGUGCUAAGUAACGAGACUUUCUGCACUGAGUUUUAGAAUGAAGAAUGGGAAGGAAAGCUCUUCCUAAAUAAAGCAGGAAACAUGGAUACCAGCUUACCAUUUGUAACCAGAGGUGUUUCUUAAUCUUUUUCAGAUCAGUUGUACAAAAGUUAAGACAGCAAUAAUGGUUUUUAUAGAAUGUUCUCAUGACGGUUAAAUAUUAAGAUGUAUGUGAAGUACAUAGCCCAGUACUAGAAAGAUCUGGCGUCUCUUCUGAUUAUUUAUUGCCUGUGCUGUACCAGUUAAUGUUUGGAAUAUCAGUACUGUAUUCAACAGAUAUCUAUUUGAUAUCUAGUAUGUGAUUGGGCCAGUAAUAGGCCCUAAGGGGACAGUACUAUUUUUAUCUUCAUGGUGCUCACUUUCUAGUUGAAGGAGGUAGAAAAAAUAAUUAUUGCGGGUAGUGAUAAGUGAAACAAAAAUAAUAAGACAGGAUUGGGGUAGAGUGACAUGAAUUGGGGAGAAGGAAGGAUUCCAUGAGAUCAGUUGUGAAAGGAGGCUUCUAAGAAAGCAACACUGGAGUUGAGAAGGGAAUAAGAAAGAGCCAACUACCUGGAGAUUGGUAGAAGGAUGAAAAGACAUGCACAAGAUUUGAAGAAGAGUUUAUGAAGAUGAAGGCUUCCAAUGAACUGAGAUUUCUACAUCAUGGGGAGGGUAAUAAAAAUGCUCUUUAAAAUAUGUUAAACAAGGUAUCUGUAUCUAUGUCUGCAUGAAAGUAGAGAGGAGACAGAAUAGCUGAUGCAACAGAUGACAGUGAAUAAUCGAGUAUCUACAGCUUCUACAAUGAUCAUCAACCAGGUUCUUUCUGCCCAACUGCAGCAAGUCAAUCACUGAGAUAAUGGAUUUUGCAAAAGAGAAGACUAUUCAUGAGGCAGCCAGUGAGGAGGUGAAGAACAGGUCUCAACUCCACCUCCCAGAAGAUAAGGCUUAGGGAUAUUUAUAGGUUAUAGAAGUGGGGUCAGCUAAGAUGUGGGAAAAGGUGAUUGUCAGUGGGGGAAAAAUGAAGCAAUCAGUGAUCUAUGCAAACAUAGUUGGGAUAUGUGGCAUUUCAUAGGACACAUUUGCAGAAAAUGAUGGUAUUAUGAUCUGAGGGUGGAAUUUUUGGUCCUCUGAUGUCAAAAUGCUCUCCGGCAUUUACAGAGGCCCAGCUGAAGAGUCAACCAGUUUGAACUGGUCAGGAGCUGUCCCACAUUCCUGAAAAAUAACUGAAGUGACCAUUACCAUGGUGAUUUAUAAAUGUUCAAUUUAUUAUGCCGCUAAUGAAGGUUAAGUUUCAGCGUUCAGUGGUGCAGCCUUCAAUUACUGUGGCUUUCAGCUUCAUGAAAAAAAAAAAAAAAAAAGAAAAGAAAAAGAUAAAAAGCAGGUAACCAAAAGCAAGCAGGGCAUGCUAAAUUUGGCAGACCUAAUCAGAUGAAUCCUCUGUUUCACAGUGCUAUUUUGUUUAUAAUCUUCUUUAUCCAGGAGAACAUUAUUUGAACUAAAAAGAACAAAGCAAGAAUGGUCUGAAAUCACAAGGGGUUCAGAAGAAUGAAACAGAUGAUCUGGAUACUUUUAGAAGGAGUAAUAAUUAUUAAUCCCAACAAAUGACAUUCUUCAGUGUCUAAGCAUUUUCUUUUGUGAUUAAAGAGCUGCCGUGAACAAACCUGGAGGAGAACGUGAUGGGUACCAGAGACCAGAAAUUUACACAUGGCUAUGUUUUCAAAGGACAGGUCAAGAUGUUCCAGCUACUUGGGAAGCUGAGACAGGAUAUCUGCUUGAGCCCAGGAGUUCGUGGCUGCAGAGAGCUGUGAUCACACCACCGCACUCCAGCCAGGGCAACAGAGUGAGACCCUGACUCCAAAAGCAAAAACAAAAGAGCAAAAACGAGAUUCCAAUGUAUACUCCCACCAAUUAAUUUGAAGGUGACCAUAUCCCUCCUAUCAAAUACUGUCACUCAUUUACAUCUUUGCCAAAUGUGGGAAAACAUAAAGUUUGGCAACCCUAUAUUGACUCCACCAUGCCUUGGGAAAGGCAGCCCGCAUCAGUGGCAGGAAAUAUUGGUGGAGCGAGCUGGGACUUGCAGGUGACCAAGAAGGGGGAUCCCGGAACCGGAAUUGUCUCCCUUGGCGUUCCGGAAGUAGAAGCAGAGUCAUUGCUGGGUGGCGCCAGCCCUCAGACUUGCCUCUUUGCAGUAGGAAGAAGGCCUCCCCACAUACCUUCCCACACUCAUCACCUUAAGCCAGACUCGGUGUCCAGUGAAUAUGACCAUCUCUUGCCCAUUUUCUAAUGAGUGUUUUCAUUAAUGAGUUAUAAGAAUGUGGUGGGUAAAUCUAUGGGCUUUGAACUAGUGAAUCAACUUGGUUUCAGAAUCUGGCACUGCUACUUACUAGUGAAUUUAAGCAAGUUAUUUCACCUUUCAGAGUGUCAGUUCCCUCAUGCAUACAAGGAAGAUAAAAAAUAAUGUAUACAAAAGUAUUGGAGUAAUUAAUACAUGGAGAACUACAUGUAAAGCGUUUAGCAUGAUGUCUGACAUAUUAAGCAUCCAAUAUUAGUUGCUUGCAGAAUUAUUAGUAAAAGAGAUUGCUUCUGAAAGCCAUUCCAAUUCUUAAAUUUUAUAAUGCCACAUUUGAGGUCACCUGAAGUACGUGUAUAACAUGUGUACAUUUUUGCGAUUUAUUUUUUCAAUUCCCAGAUUAGAGGCAUAGAGAUAUCCUAGCAAGGACUCCAAGUGUGUAGAUCUGUCAAAGAUAUGAACAUGAAAGAACAGCUUAUUUCAAUAAACCCACUUUACAUA